AAGUCUGCCUAGAUAAAGGCUAUUGAUGCUAAAAUACAUUGUAAGGGCUAGUUAGUAAUGAGAAUACCUUUUCUGGCACAUCUAGUAGUAUUAUAUUUUUCAUUUAUAAAUGUAUUUCUGGUACUUAGCAGCUUUUGUCAUGUUUGUUUUUAAUAGUGAAUGUUACCUGUUUUUUGGAUAUAGGCAGGAUUUUUGGUAGUUGCAGCAGUUUCACUCAAUCCACACAAAUUUUCACUGAAGACUCGAAAAAAAUACUCAUUUCCCAUGAUCAGGUCUGACACUACGCAGUUUGUACGACGGUAGUGGUCGUAAACAGUGUACCAUUCCAUUGUCUUUUUGUCAGCUUUUUGGACUGUGUAGCCCAAGAUCUGUGCGUUGCCAUCAUCUUGUGGAGGUGUCCACUCCAGGGCAACAUUAAAUCCCCAAACAUCUGCCAGUUUUAUAUUCUGAGGAGGGCCAGGCUUAUCUAUGAUUUGAAUUGUUAUUGCAACUGUAUCUGUCAUAUUUUCUAUUUGAAGAGUGACUUCAUAUGCUCCUGAGUGAUGAAGUUCUGCCUUUCUGAUGAAAAGGAUUGUGUCCGUGCUGCUGUUCCGAAUUCCCACAUCUUUGGAGUCUAGAGUUUGACCAUCUUUCAUCCAACUUAUUUUGGGUCUAGGUUUACCCUGAAAAGGUAUCAUUAUAUUGAUUGUCUCACCCACUUUCUUC
rnacentral:lncRNA from 1 species